CUACGGGGUGCAGCAGUGAGGAAUAUUGCACAAUGGGGGGAACCCUGAUGCAGCAACGCCGCGUGGAGGAUGACGCAUUUCGGUGUGUAAACUCCUUUUAUAUGUCAAGAAAAUGACGGUAGCAUAUGAAUAAGCACCGGCUAACGUCCGUGCCAGCAGCCGCGGUAAUACGGAGGGUGCAAGCGUUACUCGGAAUCACUGGGCGUAAAGGAAGCGUAGGCGGGUUGGAAAGUCAGGUGUGAAAUCCUACAGCUUAACUGUAGAACUGCACUUGAAACUUCUAAUCUAGAGUAUGGGAGGGGGAGAUGGAAUUAGUGGUGUAGGGGUAAAAUCCGUAGAUAUCACUAGGAAUACCUAAAGCGAAGGCGAUCUCCUGGAACAUUACUGACGCUAAGGCGUGAAAGCGUGGGGAGCAAACAGGAUUAGAUACCCCAGUAGUC
rnacentral:rRNA from 1 species